rnacentral:rRNA from 1 species
CUCAAAGGAAUUGACGGGGCCCGCACAAGCGUGGAGCAUGUGGUUUAAUUCGACGCAACGCGAAGAACCUUACCAGGGCUUGACAUCCCCUGACCGCGUAUGAAAGUACGUUUCACCUCGGGUGACAGGGAGACAGGUGGUGCAUGGUUGUCGUCAGCUCGUGUCGUGAGAUGUUGGGUUAAGUCCCGCAACGAGCGCAACCCUCGACCUUAGUUGCCAGCAUUCAGUUGGGCACUCUAAGGUGACUGCCGGCUAAAAGUCGAGGAAGGUGGGGAUGACGUCAAAUCAUCAUGCCCCUUAUGACCUGGGCUACACACGUGCUACAAUGGGCGGUACAAAGGGUCGCGAACCCGCGAGGGGGAGCCAAUCCCAAAAAGCCGCUCUCAGUUCGGAUUGCAGGCUGCAACUCGCCUGCAUGAAGCCGGAAUCGCUAGUAAUCGCGGAUCAGCAUGCCGCGGUCGAAUACGUUCCCGGGCCUU